CCUACGGGGCGCAGCAGUGAGGAAUAUUGGUCAAUGGCCGCAGGGCUGAACCAGCCAAGUCGCGUGAGGGAUGACGGUCCUAUGGAUUGUAAACCUCUUUUGUCAGGGAGCAAAGGGCGCCACGUGUGGCGUUUUGCGAGUACCUGAAGAAAAAGCAUCGGCUAACUCCGUGCCAGCAGCCGCGGUAAUACAUAGGGGGCAAGCGUUAUCCGGAAUUAUUGGGUGUAAAGGGUGCGUAGACGGGAAAUUAAGUUAGUUGUGAAAUCCCCAGGCUCAACUUGGGAAUUGCAACUAAAACUGGUUUU
rnacentral:rRNA from 1 species